AUUGAACGCUGGCGGCAGGCCUAACACAUGCAAGUCGAACGAGUGGCGGACGGGUGAGUAAUGUCUGGGAAACUGCCUGAUGGAGGGGGAUAACUACUGGAAACGGUAGCUAAUACCGCAUACCAUCGGAUGAGCCCAAAUGGGAUUAGCUAGUUGGUGGGGUAACGGCCCACCAAGGCGACGAUCCCUAGCUGGUCUGAGAGGAUGACCAGCCACACCGGAACUGAGACACGGUCCAGACUCCUACGGGAGGCAGCAGUGGGGAAUAUUGCGCAAUGGGGGCAAGCCUGAUACAGCCAUGCCGCGUGUAUGAAGAAGGCCUUCGGGUUGUAAAGUACUUUCGGCGAGGAGGCGUUACCCGCAGAAGAAGCACCGGCUAACUCCGUGCCAGCAGCCGCGGUAAUUC
rnacentral:rRNA from 1 species